GGCUGCAACUCGCCUGCAUGAAGUCGGAAUUGCUAGUAAUCGCAGAUCAGCAUGCUGCGGUGAAUACGCUCCCGGGCCUUGUACACACCGCCCGUCACACCAUGGGAGUCGGUAACACCCGAAGUCGGUAGCCUAACCGUAAGGAGGGCGCCGCCGAAGGUGGGAUUGAUGACUGGGGUGAAGUCGUAACAAGGUACC
rnacentral:rRNA from 1 species